UCUUUAUCAUGUUGAAGAAGUUCCCUUCUCUUCCUAGUUUGGUGACAGUUUUAUCAUGAAUUUGCGAUUUUUACUGGAUUUUGUCAAAUGCUUUUUCUGUAGCUAUUAAUAUGACCAUAUGAUUUUUCUUUUAGUUUGUCAAUGUGAUGGGUUACAUCCACUGACGUUUGAAGCACAAUGAGAUUUUUAAACGGGUAUUUUAACUGCUAUGAGGAGAAGAGAUGGAAGUGGGGUGGGAGUGAGGAAACAAAAGUGGGAUUGUGGAGAUCAGUUUAAAAAUGCCUGGAUAAACCAUAGUGAGAGAUGAUGAAGACAUGAACCAGGCAAUGUAAGUAAGAAAUGAUGUAGGAAGGACACACUUGCUGUGAUUUUUUCAGUGGGUCAUGGGGGAGAGACAAAGAGGAGAGGAUGCCAAUGAAUCCCAGGUCUCUGCAGCUGGGUCGGUGGGUGGUGCUUCUGGGAGACCACUGAAUGGUACGUGGACACUGCCAAGUGUGGGCUAGCUAUGGAAUGUGAGGUUCUAUGACUUCAGCAAGAGCAGUUACAGUGGCGGGGGAUGGAGACACAGCUGGGCAGCAGAGUCAACUGAAGGUUGAGACUGACCUUUGAUGGAGGUGGGGACUGACUUUGUGGUCAACUCUUUUGAGAAGUUUGGGUGUAAAAGAGAUGAAAGGAACAGGGCUGGAGGAAGAGAGAUGGUUUCUGGGAAGAUCUUGGUGUAUGGUUAGAAAGACCAGAGCUGCUUGACACUGCUGGGAAGCUGAGGAGGAACCCCAGCUUCCACAGCAGAGCUCCACACAGACAAGCUCUCAGGAAAUAAUGUUCUCCAAGAAACGGACUCAAGGAAGAGGAGUAAACUAUAAACCAAGGUCCCGGAGUAGGUGAGAUGGUUGGACGGGAGCGCAAAGCACAAAUCUUAACAGUGGACAGAAGAGAUCAGCGCCACAGGGAUCCGGGGUCAGUGGGCGGCCCUCGGGUUCCCUUCUUCCCGGUUUCCUUUCUGCCUUUAGUCCCAGUUUCUUUCGCACCUCAGGGCCCUGGCCCAGUGGGCGCUCAGCGGACCCUUCCUACUGCCCGCAUCCCUGUGCAGCGCUGGGACCCAGAGUGACACUGCAGGCGGUC
ensembl:lncRNA